rnacentral:rRNA from 1 species
ACGCUGGCGGCAGGCCUAACACAUGCAAGUCGAGCGGUAGAGAGGAGCUUGCUUCUCUUGAGAGCGGCGGACGGGUGAGUAAUGCCUAGGAAUCUGCCUGGUAGUGGGGGAUAACGCUCGGAAACGGACGCUAAUACCGCAUACGUCCUACGGGAGAAAGCAGGGGACCUUCGGGCCUUGCGCUAUCAGAUGAGCCUAGGUCGGAUUAGCUAGUUGGUGAGGUAAUGGCUCACCAAGGCGACGAUCCGUAACUGGUCUGAGAGGAUGAUCAGUCACACUGGAACUGAGACACGGUCCAGACUCCUACGGGAGGCAGCAGUGGGGAAUAUUGGACAAUGGGCGAAAGCCUGAUCCAGCCAUGCCGCGUGUGUGAAGAAGGUCUUCGGAUUGUAAAGCACUUUAAGUUGGGAGGAAGGGCAUUAACCUAAUACGUUGGUGUCUUGACGUUACCGACAGAAUAAGCACCGGCUAACUCUGUGCCAGCAGCCGCGGUAAUACGGAGGGUGCAAGCGUUAUCCGGAUUCACUGGGUUUAAAGGGUGCGUAGGCGGGCAGGUAAGUCCGUGGUGAAAACUCUGAGCUUAACUCAGAAACUGCCAUGGAUACUAUUUGUCUUGAAUACUGUGGAGGUAAGCGGAAUAUGUCAUGUAGCGGUGAAAUGCUUAGAUAUGACAUGGAACACCAAUUGCGAAGGCAGCUUACUACACAAAUAUUGACGCUGAGGCACGAAAGCGU